AAACUGAAGAGUUUGAUCCUGGCUCAGAUUGAACGCUGGCGGCAUGCCUUACACAUGCAAGUCGAACGGCAGCACGGGUGCUUGCACCUGGUGGCGAGUGGCGAACGGGUGAGUAAUACAUCGGAACAUGUCCUGUAGUGGGGGAUAGCCCGGCGAAAGCCGGAUUAAUACCGCAUACGAUCUAGGGAUGAAAGCGGGGGACCUUCGGGCCUCGCGCUAUAGGGUUGGCCGAUGGCUGAUUAGCUAGUUGGUGGGGUAAAGGCCUACCAAGGCGACGAUCAGUAGCUGGUCUGAGAGGACGACCAGCCACAC
rnacentral:rRNA from 1 species